rnacentral:rRNA from 1 species
AGAGUUUGAUCAUGGCUCAGGAUGAACGCUAGCGGCAGGCUUAAUACAUGCAAGUCGAGGGGCAGCGGGGGUAGCAAUACCUGCCGGCGACCGGCAAACGGGUGCGGAACACGUACAGAACCUUCCUUUAAGCGGGGGAUAGCCCGGAGAAAUCCGGAUUAAUACCCCAUAGUAAUGUUGGAUGGCAUCAUUUGACAUUUAAAGAUUUAUCACUUAAGGAUGGCUGUGCGGCUGAUUAGGUAGUUGGUGCGGGUAACGGCCUACCAAGCCUUCGAUCAGUAAUUGGUGUGAGAGCACGACCAGUCACACGGGCACUGAGACACGGGCCCGACUCCUACGGGAGGCAGCAGUAAGGAAUAUUGGUCAAUGGACGCAAGUCUGAACCAGCCAUGCCGCGUGAAGGAUGAAGGCCCUCUGGGUUGUAAACUUCUUUUAUCUGGGAAGAAAUGCCUGUUUUUUAACGGGUUUGACGGUACCAGAGGAAUAAGCACCGGCUAACUCCGUGCCAGCAGCCGCGGUAAUACGGAGGGUGCAAGCGUUAUCCGGAUUCACUGGGUUUAAAGGGUGCGUAGGUGGGAAUGUAAGUCAGUGGUGAAAUCUCCGUGCUUAACAUGGAAACUGCCAUUGAUACUAUGUUUCUUGAAUCUUCCGGAGGUCAGCGGAAUAUGUCAUGUAGCGGUGAAAUGCUUAGAUAUGACAUAGAACACCAAUUGCGAAGGCAGCUGACUACAGGGGCAUUGACACUGAGGCACGAAAGCGUGGGGAUCAAACAGGAUUAGAUACCCUGGUAGUCC